GCGGGGGUGCCCGAGCCAGGUCAAAGGGGCAGGGUUUAGGUCCCUGUGGCGUAGGCCUGCGUGGGUUCAACGGCGGGAGAGCCGCCGGGCACAUCCCACCCCCCGCACCA
rnacentral:tRNA from 1 species